AUCUCCUGGAGGAGGAUAGCUGGCAUAGGCCAAUGGGCGUCUGGGGCCAGGGCCUGAGCCCAGGGCUGGGGGUUGCGUCUUAGAAUUUACAUAUACAGCAGCAGCAGCAGUAGCCCGAGGCAAAACAACCUGAACAAACUCUCUGAGGAUGUUUUGGACUUGAUUCCAGCAGCUUGAAUUUCCCAAGAUGCGCUCAGACUCUUCCUGUCAAUGUGGAAGGUUCUGAUGCUGCCUGGAGCACUGUGUCUGCAUUGGCCAACUGCUCAUUGCUGUAGCAAUUCGCUCCUGAUCUCAAGAGUUCCCUGGGCCCCAAGGAGAGGAAUUUGAUGGAGACAGCCUUUUCAGUGCUGAUUGGGUGAAGAUCUCUCACUGUGGCUAUGGGUCUCUUUACUUAUUCCCAUCUGCUGCAGGAGGAAGCUUCCCGCAUGAUGGCUGAGUCCGA